UUGGCUGGUGCAUAAACUGUGACAACUUAUUGACAAUGAAAGCAAUAUAAGCUGUGUAAGAGAUAAAUAUUGAAAAGAGCCAACUAGUUGUCUAUAUUUAGUUGCAUUAGUGGAUGAGGAGCCAUCAUAUAAGAAAAGAGACAUUAAGGUAGCCAAGGUAGUGGAAACUAUUUCGCACCAAGUAUGUUGGGUAUUCUAAUAAGUUCAUGAAUAGGGC
rnacentral:lncRNA from 1 species